UGGGGAAUUUUGGACAAUGGGCGAAAGCCUGAUCCAGCAAUGCCGCGUGUGUGAAGAAGGCCUUCGGGUUGUAAAGCACUUUUGUCCGGAAAGAAAUGGCUCUGGUUAAUACCUGGGGUCGAUGACGGUACCGGAAGAAUAAGGACCGGCUAACUACGUGCCAGCAGCCGCGGUAAUACGUAGGGUCCAAGCGUUAAUCGGAAUUACUGGGCGUAAAGCGUGCGCAGGCGGUUGUGCAAGACCGAUGUGAAAUCCCCGAGCUUAACUUGGGAAUUGCAUUGGUGACUGCACGGCUAGAGUGUGUCAGAGGGGGGUAGAAUUCCACGUGUAGCAGUGAAAUGCGUAGAGAUGUGGAGGAAUACCGAUGGCGAAGGCAGCCCCCUGGGAUAACACUGACGCUCAUGCACGAAAGCGUGGGGAGCAAACAGGAUUAGAUACCCUGGUAGUCCACGCCCUAAACGAUGUCAACUAGUUGUUGGGGAUUCAUUUCCUUAGUAACGUAGCUAGCGCGUGAAGUUGACCGCCUGGGGAGUACGGUCGCAAGAUUAAAACUC
rnacentral:rRNA from 1 species